UGGGACCCUCACAGACCCUCCCCAUGAUCCUGAAACCCUCAGAAAUGGGGCUGGGACCCCCACAGACCACUCCCCAUGGAUCUGGAACUACCAGAAGAAAGGUUGGGACCCCCAGAGCCCCCAGAAACGGGUCUGGGGUCCCCAGAAAUGGGGUUGGCACCCUCAGAAGACCCCUCCCCAUGGGCAUGAGAUUCCCAGAAAUGGGGCUGGGACCCCCAGAAAUGGAGCUGGGACAACCAGAAUAGGGCUGGCACCCCCAAAAUGGAGUUUGGCAUCCCCAAAAUGGAGCUGGACACCCCCAGAAUGGGGCUGGGACACCCAGAUUUGGGCUGGAACCUCCACACACCCCUCCCCAUGGACUUGGGACUGCAAGAAAUGGGGCUGGGACCCCCACAUGUAAGCCACGCCCACUCCCCGCCUUGCCCCACAUUCUGCAUCGAACUAACCAAUCAGCGGCUGGAACAAUCAGCGCGGGAAGGCCUUCGGCAUCGACCAAUCAGAUCGCUCUCUCAUUCUGGCCCCACCCUUUCAUUCUGACAUCAAAAAGAUCCGUGACGAUCCCCCCUCACCCCUAUGACGUCACUGCGCUCCCAUUGGCUGCCGGCAGGAGGGCGGGGCUUGCCCGGCCUAUAAAAGGCGUGCGUGGGUGCGCAGAGCUCAGUUCGGGUCCGGCGAUGGGAGCGGCGGCAGCAGCGGAGCCCUGGGAGCACCCCAGAGCCAACACCGGCCACGGACGGCGUCCAGCGGCGGGGAAUGCCCAGGGUUGAGGACACCGACAGAGCAUUCCCGGGGCAGCGAGCAACGAGAGCGGCCGAGCAUCGCCCCGGAGCGAGGACCACGGAACCGGGAGCACCACGGCGACCCAUGGAGCAUCCCCCCGGGGCAGCGCCUAGGAAUCCACACGGAGCACCGAGAGAGAGAGAGAGCAUCCCCGGGGAUGAGGAAGGAGGCAAUGGUCAGAGAAUCCCCCCGGAGCAGCGGUGAAGACAGUGCAGGGAUCGGGCAGAAGCUCCGUGGACGCCCACCGGAGAAUCUCCCAAAGCUAAGGCCCAACCCCCCCCCCCCCCCAAAUUUCUGAAAUAAAGUUGACAAAAAUCUC